rnacentral:sRNA from 1 species
AGAUUAGUAAGAAGAGGCAACAAU